GGCAGACGGGGUGCACGGCGGCCGAGCGCACCACCGGGUGGUCGAGCUGCAGCAGGGCCACGUCGUAGUCAUGGCUGUCCUCCUCGUGCUGGUCCUACCCCAGCCUACCUUCCUGGCACUGCUCUUCAUCACUCCCGUUGAGACAGUCAGGCUGCCUGUCACAGACCCUGGACAGUGAGAUGCACGUGCUGUCUUCUUGGCACUGAAACGUGGCUCUGCAAACUGCGUGGGGACACACAGAGGCAGAGACUACGUGACGUGUGAGACGGCAACUUGAUGGAAUGCAGAUGGAGAUGUGUAUAUCCAGUUCUGGUCUAUUAAUCCGAUUUAAAAGAAAGUCGCAAAAAGGUCAAAUGAUGAUAUUUUUCUCGCCAAAUGCUUUUGGCUUUGGGAAAUACAAUUAGUUUUUUUCUAAAAUA